rnacentral:lncRNA from 1 species
CUCUUUCACAGUUCAGGGUGGGAAGCAGAAACUUGUGUGGGAAACAACCUCCUUGGAAACCAUAGCAACACCCAUUUGGCGGCUCUGGAUUGGACCCCGACCAGACAUUUAUUAAGCAGCCUCAUGAGCUGUGGUCUCCAGAAGAACAAUACCAAACUGAUCAAAUGUUAAUAGCUUCAAUCUGUUUCUCCUCCCAGGACUCCCACCCAGUCCCCCUCCCCACAGAAUGCAGUUCUGCUUCCCAGCCUUGCUGAAAGCUGCCUCUGCUGCUGCCCCAGAGCCAAACCUGAGUCCCGCUGGGCCACUACGACACACAUGCAGGUGACCUGGGCACAGAGAUAAAAGCGCCAUGCACAGAUGGUACGCGGAUAUCCUCACCCCAAGCCAAAAGUUGGUCCACUUUCCCAGGAUGCGUACUCCAGGCAACAUCAUGGCUGAAACUCCAGCAAGCACCCUGGACAGAGAGGUGACCUUGAGAAUACCAAUAAGACACAAGGAGCUUGGGUCGCUGAUGCUGUAUCACAUGUAAAACAUGGACUGGAUCUUUGACUUCUUACAUUAAAAAAGGAGAAGAAGGCCUCUUUCUUUACUGAAUUAAAAACAAUUCUCCCUAACCGAUUUCAGUAAUAGCAGCACAACAUGUUCAGGAGAGAAGCACUCUGUGCUUUCAGUUAGUGAGCACUGUGUGGUGAGCACUGCUCUCCAUUUGAUCCCAACUGAGGACCCAUCUGGCCCAGCCCUGCUCACCCUGCACACCCCCAGCCCCUCCCUGAGUUCCAGUUCUC